GUAAGAAGUGCCUUUCGCCUCCCACCAUGAUUCUGAGGCCUUGCCAGCCUUGUGGAAAUAUCUUUCCAACGCAUUAGAAAGAGAAUUCUCAUUUGGCUUCUCUCCAUCUAGUCUGGCUCCAUCAGAGAUCUGACUGUUUUCUUCCUAAACGACUCUGCUAGAAGGUCACUAUAUAAUCAACCUGGAGGAUGUCCUGAUUUUAUCUUCAUUUAAUUCUUUUUGAUUGACUACUACACUGGAGUGUUUGUUUAUUCAUCUGAGCAAGAUAUUAAAAGUUCCUUUAAAUAGAUGACAUUUAAAAGGCAUAAAUUGGCUUCUCUGACCACCCUCACCCUUCAACUGUCAGCGUAUCCUCCUCAUUCUUCUUGGAUGCAGGACAAGAGUUCAGCCCCUGCUGAAGGUGAUAAUGAGCGCUAAAAUUUUCGCAACCUCAAGUGUCCCACUGGGAGAGUGACUUUUCCGAGACUGUCAUGGGUGUCUUUCUCCCUGGGACUUGUGUCUCCUAAUGCUUGUGUGGCAGGUAGGUGCUUCUUUGAGUCUUGGUGAUAGAAACACAUAGAAAUAUGAUUUAGUCCUUAAGGAACAAAAAGGAACCCAUCCAGUUUUCAAAGGGGAGCAAAAGUUCAAAAGUUCAAAAGAAUCAGAAACUUUUUUGUUGUUGUUGUUAGUACCGAAAGCAAAGCUUACUCAGGCUUUUCAGAGUGGUUAAAAAAAAAAAAAGAAAAGUAGAGAACACGCUUCUUAUCUUCAAAGAAAUUACAGAGGGGUUCAUUUUAAAAAGGAGAAGACACAUGCUACUAUUUAAAGAAGUCCCAGAAGGACUUAAACUUGAAAUUCUCGCUGUGGCAGCAGCUUUCCUCAUCCUCAUUCUUAGGCAUCUUCUAUGUCCCCAGAGGAGUUGAAGCCAACUCUGUUUUUCUACUCAGUACAGUGUCCAGCAGCAACUAUGACAACUAUGUGUGCUGCAAAGAAUUUUUCCAGAGGUGGGUGUCUCCAGGGCCACAGAGUUCCCUCUCAGCACUUUAUGGGGAAAGUUAUUCUCUACACUUGAAAGUAGAGAAGAAAAGAAACACGUGUGAAAGUAUUUGGAAGUGCAUAAGUGGUGUGUGUAAAGGGGAAUGUCAUGUUCAGCCUUGUGUUUUUCCUUCCUUCCUACUGGAACUCGUUUGAGUCUUUGUUACCCAGUUAGUAGAAGUUGUAGAUCUGAGUAGAAGUUUUCUUGUUUGUCGAAAGAGCGUUAUCACUAGUGAUUGAAAGGUUGGCAUUUCCAGAGAGAAAGGUGGCAGCAGCCCUUUUGCAACUUUUAAACAGUGAUGAGAAUUCUGGCCCUUUGUCUUUAAGCAUUAUAUUAAGCAGACUUUGACGUCUUUCUUUCAGCAUUUCAUUCAACAUUACUAACCCCUUUUCCUCCUCUCGUCCCUGGGAAAACAUGGACUACCAUGCAAAAGCUCCUACCAAAUGCUGUGGCAUCUUCAGUUCCUGCCCACCACAAGGGGACCAAAUCCCUGAGCCACACCCCUGAAUUGAUAGAUCUUCUAUAGAAGCAUAGAUUGGGCAUCCUUUGCUUGUCUCCAGCUUCUCUGCGUUGCACUGUUUUGCUACAUACUGUGAGAAUGACUCAACCUCUUGAACCUCAAGUUUCUGGCUUUGAGCAGCUACCUCUCCUAAGUGAAAAGUGAGCAUCUGAAAAGCGAUCGCUUGCUUUAGAACUACGUUAAAGAUGGGUUUCCCUGUGAAGAAUGACUCCAAAACAUGAGAGAUGGUCCAUCAGAAUAAAUCCUUCAGUGAAAUAAAGACCAUGAUAGACA